rnacentral:lncRNA from 1 species
AUUCCGGCUUUUAUCUCCACCUGACCUGACCCACCCUUGUGGAAUGACCACAAGGAAUGACCCACCCUUGUAUUUGGGCUUUGUAACCCGGGACUGGUUUCCCAGACCUGCUUUUAAGUUAAGUUCCCCUGGGGGCAGGGGUGUCAAUUUAAGUUUUACUGCGUAAACAACCAAAUGGCUCUUCAACCGAGGUGGGGCCGCUCUUCUGAACAGCACAAAUUACCAACACUACCAUCAAACAGUUUGAUAAACGACUGGCUGGGCCUCAGCCUCUGCCAAAUAUCAUGUCUCCCCGACAACACAGAACACACUCAACCCUUAACUGAAAAGGACAUCCUAAAAUGCUACCCAGUUAUUGCAUUCGGGAACAAAGCGCUUUUGUGCACAACCUUGUUGAAGAUCUGGUCUCCUCCUGGCCAACAGUGUCCCUCCAUGACUGACCAGGAUAUUCUGUCAACAGAUAGCAUCCAAUCCCUGUUCAUUGCACUUUUGAUCCUGCCUUUGGAAACACAUCCAAUCCAGAACUGUGGCAAUCCUUGGAACUCUCAGCGGGAGCUACAACCUUCCAAAAAUGCUGCCUUCCGCCCCCUUGUGGAGGAGCAUUCUCGGUUCCUCUGGGCUGUGUCUCUCCAUUCUCCAAACCUGCCUGGCUGUGGAGAUCAAUAAUCUGAAUAUCAUCUUCAGUUAAUCAGGCUUUAACAACAUAGUACAGCCUUCUGGAGCACAAUCUUGAUUGAUUUUUUUUUUAAGGUGAUGGCUUCCUGCAGCAAACCCUCACAGAUUUCUGAAUGACUACUGAACUUGUGAAAAGGCACUCAACUAAUUAAAAUCAUAAUGUGAUACACCCACAUACUCACCACAAUGGCUACAAUUUGAAAGACUGGCAAAUUAAAGUAUUGGUACAUGUGUGGAGUCAUGGGAAAGAGAGAAUAAAACGAAAUAACCACUCA